AGUGAACGCUGGCGGUAGGCCUAACACAUGCAAGUCGAACGGCAGCACGGUAAGAGCUUGCUCUUACGGGUGGCGAGUGGCGGACGGGUGAGGAAUACAUCGGAAUCUACUUUUUCGUGGGGGAUAACGUAGGGAAACUUACGCUAAUACCGCAUACGACCUACGGGUGAAAGCAGGGGAUCUUCGGACCUUGCGCGAUUGAAUGAGCCGAUGUCGGAUUAGCUAGUUGGCGGGGUAAAGGCCCACCAAGGCGACGAUCCGUAGCUGGUCUGAGAGGAUGAUCAGCCACACUGGAACUGAGACACGGUCCAGACUCCUACGGGAGGCAGCAGUGGGGAAUAUUGGACAAUGGGCGCAAGCCUGAUCCAGCCAUACCGCGUGAGUGAAGAAGGCCUUCGGGUUGUAAAGCCCUUUUGUUGGGAAAGAAAAGCAGCAGGUUAAUACCCCGCUGUUCUGACGGUACCCAAAGAAUAAGCACCGGCUAACUUCGUG
rnacentral:rRNA from 1 species